CAGCAUUCCUUUUCCAAGGUAGCAUGGAUUCGGGAACUUAUUCAUCAGACUAAUUAGAGAAUAUUUUUACUAAUCUGGGCUGGAUAACGUGGCGGCUCGAGUGACUAGGGGCGGCGUGGCUGCUAGAUGCAGAACAGCGGUGGAUGCUGGAGCUUGAAGGGUCCAGAUCCGUGCGCGGUAGGGGUUGGGGAGGCGGAUCCAGAGAUGGGCGACGAGGAAAGGGUCGCUGGUGACGAUGAGGAAGGCCGGAGCGCGUCUUCCCAGGUGGAUCCAUGGCAUCCGCGACUCCUGGGCAUAAAGGAGACAUGGAGGUGAGGGACAGAAGGAGGCGCUGUGCGGCGACCUUACGUAUUGAAAGUUCACUUCACAAAUCUGGAGAACUAGCUGUAACCCCCUUCUCAUAUCCUUGCACAGGUAAGCAACGAAGUUUGUUUUGGUGAUUUUUGCCUUCUUUGAUUGAUACUUUUGAAGCAUCAAUGGGUCUCAUUUGUUUGUCAAUUCGUCAGUUUACUGUAGCCUAUAUAGCUGUUGCCGACAGUAGACUAUAUUUGAUUGACAAGCAACACAUCAUGCACUCCUACAUACAUGGAUUCUGUUUGUACUUGACAGCAACAGACUACUCCAAUGUAUGAAUAUGUUUGUUUAAAAAUGGCAGAAUAUGUAUGAAUAUUAACUUCAUACAUGGAGUAAAUUCGUAAAAGAUGUAUGGGAUGAGUUUACUGAUAAAAAAAGAAUACAGAAUGCCUGAAUGACCCCGAUGUACCCAGCUCUCACCGCCAUAUAGCUAGCACAAGAGCUUAAAAGCAAAGUGCCAGCAUGCCUCAUACAUGUUCCAAGAUAAACU
rnacentral:lncRNA from 1 species